rnacentral:rRNA from 1 species
UACGAAGGGUGCAAACGUUGCUCGGAAUUAUUGGGCGUAAAGCGCACGUAGGCGGUAUUGCAAGUCGGAUGUGAAAUCCCUCGGCUCAACCAAGGAAGUGCAUCCGAAACUGCCGUACUUGAGUACUUAAGAGGAUCGCGGAAUUCCCGGUGUAGAGGUGAAAUUCGUAGAUAUCGGGAGGAACACCAGUGGCGAAGGCGAUCUUCUGGACGGAUACUGACGUUGAGGCGCGAAAGCUAGGGGAGCAAACAGG